CAAACCCCAGCCCAGUGAGACCACCAGUUACAAUGUACACAUAGUUUUUGUUGAAGAGCCUGUACUCUUUUGGUAGCAGUGGAAUCUCGGCUUCAGAAGAACAAUUCCACAACCUUCCCCCCUGCCAUAGCCAUCUGCUCUGCUGGAAAAAGGCUUGCUAGUGCCAUCAGCUCCUGCGCCUAGGCCCUUUGAGACAGACAGGAACACCGUUCCAACCCGUGUAAGUUGCUCGCGGAGAUGACAUCACGGAUCCACAUCGGUCGUCCGCCAUAUUGGAUUGAACAGAAAGCGAAAUAAAAUUUUCACAGGUCACAAAUUUGGUCCAAACUUCACAAAACUUGGCGUACAUGAUCCUUGGACCAAGCCUCACAAAAGUUACUAGAAGGAUUUUUGAUUUUCGGAAGUGUUUGCCGAAAUCAACGGCGUAGCCGCGAAACAGGAAGUUAGGUAUUAUCUCAAGAACGCUGUCACGUAUUGAAACAAAACGUUGUACAUUAACUCGAGGCUCCAAUGUGAGGAUGCACAAGAUAAAAAAAGAAAAACAUUUCAAAAUGUCAUAUCAUUUGGCAACACCCCCCCCCCCCAGCUAUUUGGUAUCCUCAUCAUCUUCACCUUUGCUGCUGUAAUUCUGUCACAAUGCCACAGAGUCUGUCUACACUCAUCAACAGGGCCGGAGUGGGGCCACUUUUCAGC